rnacentral:rRNA from 1 species
AUUGAACGCUGGCGGCAUGCCUUACACAUGCAAGUCGAACGGUAACGGGUCCUUCGGGAUGCCGACGAGUGGCGAACGGGUGAGUAAUAUAUCGGAACGUGCCCAGUAGUGGGGGAUAACUGCUCGAAAGAGCAGCUAAUACCGCAUACGACCUGAGGGUGAAAGGGGGGGAUCGCAAGACCUCUCGCUAUUGGAGCGGCCGAUAGCAGAUUAGCUAGUUGGUGGGGUAAAGGCCUACCAAGGCAACGAUCUGUAGUUGGUCUGAGAGGACGACCAGCCACACUGGGACUGAGACACGGCCCAGACUCCUACGGGAGGCAGCAGUGGGGAAUUUUGGACAAUGGGCGCAAGCCUGAUCCAGCAAUGCCGCGUGCAGGAUGAAGGCCUUCGGGUUGUAAACUGCUUUUGUACGGAACGAAAAGCCCCGGGUUAAUACCCUGGGGUCAUGACGGUACCGUAAGAAUAAGCACCGGCUAACUACGUGCCAGCCGCCGCAGUAA